UACGUAGGGGGCGAGCGUUGUCCGGAAUUAUUGGGCGUAAAGCGCGCGCAGGCGGUCCAUUAAGUCUGGUGUUUAAGCCCGGGGCUCAACCCCGGUACGCACGGGAAACUGGUGGACUUGAGUGCAGGAGAGGGAAGUGGAAUUCCACGUGUAGCGGUGAAAUGCGUAGAGAUGUGGAGGAACACCAGUGGCGAAGGCGACUUUCUGGCCUGUAACUGACGCUGAGGCGCGAAAGCGUGGGGAGCAAACAGG
rnacentral:rRNA from 1 species